UACAGAGGUCCCAAGCGUUGUUCGGAUUCACUGGGCGUAAAGGGUGCGUAGGUGGUGAAGUAAGUCGGAUGUGAAAUCUCGGAGCUCAACUCCGAAACUGCAUUGGAAACUGCCGUGCUUGAGGACUGGAGAGGAGACUGGAAUUUACGGUGUAGCGGUGAAAUGCGUAGAUAUCGUAAGGAAGACCAGUGGCGAAGGCGGGUCUCUGGACAGUUCCUGACGCUGAGGCACGAAGGCCAGGGGAGCAAACGGG
rnacentral:rRNA from 1 species